GUUAUACGAGGUUAGUGUAGUGAUGUCUGCCCAAUGUUGAAUGGCUGCAGUAUUCUGACUGUACAAAGGUAGCAUAAUCAAUAGUCUCUUGAUUAGAGUCUGGUAUGAAAGGGGUAACUAGGUUUUAGGUUUUACGAUCGAAUUUAAAUUGGUUGUAAAAAUACAAUCAUCAAUCCUUGGGACGAGAAGACCCUGGAAGCUUUAUGUAUCUUUUGGUUGGGGUGACUGAUAAAUAAAGGAAAACUUUAAUAAGUUACUCCAGGGAUAACAGCGUAAUUAAGGAAUAAGUUCAUAUUUAGUCCUUGGUUUGCGACCUCGAUGUUGAAUUAAAGGGGGCAGGAGCUCUAGUCUGUUCGACUAAUAUGAUUUUACA
rnacentral:rRNA from 1 species